rnacentral:rRNA from 1 species
AUUGAACGCUGGCGGCAUGCCUUACACAUGCAAGUCGAACGGCAGCACGGGUGCUUGCACCUGGUGGCGAGUGGCGAACGGGUGAGUAAUACAUCGGAACAUGUCCUGUAGUGGGGAAUAGCCCGGCGAAAGCCGGAUUAAUACCGCAUACGAUCUACGGAUGAAAGCGGGGGACCUUCGGGCCUCGCGCUAUAGGGUUGGCCGAUGGCUGAUUAGCUAGUUGGUGGGGUAAAGGCCUACCAAGGCGACGAUCAGUAGCUGGUCUGAGAGGACGACCAGCCACACUGGGACUGAGACACGGCCCAGACUCCUACGGGAGGCAGCAGUGGGGAAUUUUGGACAAUGGGCGAAAGCCUGAUCCAGCAAUGCCGCGUGUGAGAAGAAGGCCUUCGGGUUGUAAAGCACUUUUGUCCGGAAAGAAAUCCUUGGCCCUAAUACGGUCGGGGGAUGACGGUACCGGAAGAAUAAGCACCGGCUAACCACGUG